rnacentral:ncRNA from 1 species
UUAGAUGCAAUGACAGGGCCGCGCAUAAUUAAGGGUUUUCAGAGAGCCGGUGGCAGGUGUGAGCCGGUAACACAAUUAUGUAAUCCACCCUUGAGCAUGCGGCGAUGAGCCGCACGGUUCACGCCCGUUAUGCGUGCCGAGCGGACUGGCAAGCAGUCAAUCAGGGUGGCAACGCGGGAGAAAAAUACAGCUCUCGUCCCUAUA